rnacentral:lncRNA from 1 species
AUUAAGCUCCUAUUCACCAGGGUUUCCAUCUGUAGCCGAAAGUGUCCUAACUGAAACAAUCAACCUCACAGUUAAUAAAAUGACAAGAGUUUAAGCUGGAAGAAGUAGUUACACCCUCCUCUGCAUGACCCCACGUGUUCUUUGCUCGUGUUCAUAGCAGGUGAGGGCUGGGAGCUGAAGAUGGAAGGAGCAGCACAGGUCAACAUGUGAGAGAUAUGACAAGUGGCCAUUCCUAACUGAUGUCAUCAAGGUGCCUCUAAACAUAGGAUUUAGGCCAAGCACCUCUAGUUCUCCAAAAGCAGUUGGGAGAAGAUGCAGAUACAGGUGAACCUGCCAUUUUCAGGAGACAUUUCAUCAGACAAUCAAGUGAAUUCACAUCCCAGAAGAAAAUAUGUAAACAUUCAUAUCAGAUAAAAACCUUAAGAAUUAAAUCUGGAAGACCUGAAUUUCAGUCUUAAGGCUACUUCUUUUUUUUUUUUUUUUUUUUUUUUUACCGGCUCAGGGAUUAGUCCAUGAUAUUCUGUAUUGCAGUUUCCUUUCUUGUAAAAUAGAGAAUGUAACACUAGCCUUUCACACAACACUAGGUCAUGAAGAUCUAAUGACAUCAUGAAUGUGAAAGCAUUUUGGAAACCCAAAAGUUUAAUAAAAG